AACGAACGCUGGCGGCAUGCUUUACACAUGCAAGUCGAACGACAGCGCGGGCUUCGGCCUCGCAGCGAGUGGUGAACGGGUGAGAAAUGCAUCGAAACGUGCACUGACGCGGGGGAUAGCGCGGCGAAAGCCGGAUUUAUACCGCAUCCGACCUGAGGGUGACAGCGGGGGGGCGCAAGGCCUCGCGGCUUUUGGGCGGGGGAAGUCGGAUUAGCUAGGUGGUGGGGUAAAGGCUUACCAAGGCGGCGAUCCGUAGCUGGUCUCAGAGGACGACCAGCUACAUGGGGAGUGAGACACGUCCCAGACUCCGACGCGAGGCAGCAGUGGGGAAUCUUGGACAAGGGGGGAAACCCGGAUCCAGCAAUGCCGCGGGAGGGAUGAAGGAGUACGGCUGGGAAACCGAUUUUGGUCGGGAAGAAGUCCUGUGCGUUUAUACCCGAGGGUGAUGACGGUACCGGAAGAAUAAGCACCGGCUAACUCCGUG
rnacentral:rRNA from 1 species